GACGAACGCUGGCGGCGUGCUUAACACAUGCAAGUCGAACGGAAAGGCCCUGCUUUUGUGGGGUGCUCGAGUGGCGAACGGGUGAGUAACACGUGAGUAACCUGCCCUUGACUUUGGGAUAACUUCAGGAAACUGGGGCUAAUACCGGAUAGGAGCUCCUGCUGCAUGGUGGGGGUUGGAAAGUUUCGGCGGUUGGGGAUGGACUCGCGGCUUAUCAGCUUGUUGGUGGGGUAGUGGCUUACCAAGGCUUUGACGGGUAGCCGGCCUGAGAGGGUGACCGGCCACAUUGGGACUGAGAUACGGCCCAGAUUCCUACGGGAGGCAGCGGUGGGGAAUAUUGCACAAUGGGCGGAAGCCUGAUGCAGCAACGCCGCGUGCGGGAUGACGGCCUUCGGGUUGUAAACCGCUUUCGCCUGUGACGAAGCGUGAGUGACGGUAAUGGGUAAAGAAGCACCGGCUAACUACGU
rnacentral:rRNA from 1 species